AAAAGUUUUUUUUUUGUUUGGUUCCGGUAUCGAUCCAGGAUUCAAUAUCGACUUUCUUUCUAAGACCAAAAUGGAGAAUUCUCCAAUCCAAAUAUUUUCUAUGCGAGCUUUUUUCCAUAUCGAUAAUAUCAUCUUCUGCUAGAUGCUUAUUGACAGGGAUACCUCCCGACAUAUCAAAUAAUU